rnacentral:rRNA from 1 species
UACGUAGGGUGCGAGCGUUACUCGGAAUUACUGGGCGUAAAGCGUGCGCAGGCGGUUCGUUAAGUCAGAUGUGAAAGCCCCGGGCUCAACCUGGGAACUGCAUUUGAAACUGGCGGGCUUGAGUAUGGCAGAGGGGGGUGGAAUUCCGCGUGUAGCAGUGAAAUGCGUAGAGAUGCGGAGGAACACCGAUGGCGAAGGCAGCCCCCUGGGCCAAUACUGACGCUCAGGCACGAAAGCGUGGGGAGCAAACAGG